rnacentral:rRNA from 1 species
AGUGAACGCUGGCGGUAGGCCUAACACAUGCAAGUCGAACGGCAGCACAGUAAGAGCUUGCUCUUACGGGUGGCGAGUGGCGGACGGGUGAGGAAUACAUCGGAAUCUACUUUUUCGUGGGGGAUAACGUAGGGAAACUUACGCUAAUACCGCAUACGACCUACGGGUGAAAGCAGGGGAUCUUCGGACCUUGCGCGAUUGAAUGAGCCGAUGUCGGAUUAGCUAGUUGGCGGGGUAAAGGCCCACCAAGGCAACGAUCCGUAGCUGGUCUGAGAGGAUGAUCAGCCACACUGGAACUGAGACACGGUCCAGACUCCUACGGGAGGCAGCAGUGGGGAAUAUUGGACAAUGGGCGCAAGCCUGAUCCAGCCAUACCGCGUGGGUGAAGAAGGCCUUCGAGUUGUAAAGCCCUUUUGUUGGGAAAGAAAAGCAGCAGGUUAAUACCCCGCUGUUCUGACGGUACCCAAAGAAUAAGCACCGGCUAACUUCGUG